rnacentral:lncRNA from 1 species
UAAUAAUAUAAUUACUAAUGGAUUUAUGCUCCUCUCGAUGACCUUAAUCCAGUUUUUCCUUAAUGUCUUAGGUUUCUCCAGCUCUACCACCACAGGACGGUUGGCUUCUGGCCACAGAAGGGGAGAACUGAACCCUGAAAGCUCUGAAAAAUAGCACCGUGAUGCUGCAAUGCCCUUAAGAGGAGAGCAGUCAACUCUGCCCAAAACAGAGCAGUGUGUUGCUUUGAAUGCUGGUGCUUAAGGAGAGGGUGGAGACCAUGGCAGAGAACAAUCAGAUGCACAGACCUGGUCAAGAAGCGGAAAGGUGUGAGCUCAUGAUUUCAUUUCCUUCAUACACGGAGCUGGCAGCCAGAAAUCCAGAGCAGAGUAAAGGGAAGGAGAAAAAGCAACCUCCUGGAAAUCAGUUGACAAACAGUAAUCAAAGGAGAAGAGCAAUAGUCUCCGGUAAGACUCAGUUUGGCAACUAAUUUUUAUGCAAAUCAACUUAGUCCUGAAGCCCCCAUUUCUCUCUAGUAGUA